rnacentral:rRNA from 1 species
UACGUAGGGUGCGAGCGUUGUCCGGAAUUAUUGGGCGUAAAGAGCUUGUAGGCGGUUUGUUGAGUCUGCUGUGAAAAUCCGGGGCUCAACCCCGGACUUGCAGUGGGUACGGGCAGACUAGAGUGUGGAAGGGGAGACUGGAAUUCCUGGUGUAGCGGUGAAAUGCGCAGAUAUCAGGAGGAACACCGAUUGCGAAGGCAGGUCUCUGGGCCACUACUGACGCUGAGAAGCGAAAGCAUGGGGAGCGAACAGG